GAAGUGCUCCCCUUGCCGCGUCGUUUACGGACGCGGAGUGCUCCGGGCGCGCUCACCUCCCGGGGGGCUAGUCCGCGGCGGCCGUCGGAAGCCGCCUGCAGCCGGGGCGGGGCCGGGGGACCCGGGGACCGGGGACCCGGGAUCGGGCCGCUUCUCCCUCCGCCUGUGUCUCCGUCUCUCCCCCUCUCUAUGUCUCUCAUGAAUAAAUAAAUAAGAUCUUAAAUAAAUUAAUAAAAUAAAAUAUUUAAAAAAUAUAUUAACAGGACGAGUGAUCAAGGGGGGGAGGCAAAAGGCUCCGAAGCUCAGCGUCCCGGGGAGAGCGCAGUUUCCUUUCCCGAUGAAACUCUGUGCUUGUCCCCUUAUGGGAAAAUUUGUACUCCGCUCUGGGGGGAGAGAGAGUCUUCAGAGGACCCCUGGCUGAGCUCAGAGGUGGGCGACGGGCCGGAUCCCAGGACCCUGAGAUGAUGACUUGAGUCCAAACCGAGAUCUCGGGGCGGCCCGGGUGGCUCAGCGGUUAGCGCCGCCUGCAGCCCGGGGCGUGACCCUGGAGACCCGGGAUCGAGCCCC